rnacentral:rRNA from 1 species
AUUGAACGCUGGCGGCAUGCCUUACACAUGCAAGUCGAACGGCAGCACGGGAGCAAUCCUGGUGGCGAGUGGCGAACGGGUGAGUAAUACAUCGGAACGUGUCCAGUUGUGGGGGAUAGCCCGGCGAAAGCCGGAUUAAUACCGCAUACGACCCACGGGUGGAAAGCGGGGGAGUCGCAAGACCUCGCGCUAUUGGGGCGGCCGAUGUCAGAUUAG